GUUUGAUCAUGGCUCAGGAUGAACGCUGGCGGCGUGCCUAAUACAUGCAAGUCGAGCGAACUGAUUAGAAGCUUGCUUCUAUGACGUUAGCGGCGGACGGGUGAGUAACACGUGGGCAACCUGCCUGUAAGACUGGGAUAACUCCGGGAAACCGGAGCUAAUACCGGAUAACAUUUUCUCUUGCAUAAGAGAAAAUUGAAAGAUGGUUUCGGCUAUCACUUACAGAUGGGCCCGCGGUGCAUUAGCUAGUUGGUGAGGUAACGGCUCACCAAGGCAACGAUGCAUAGCCGACCUGAGAGGGUGAUCGGCCACACUGGGACUGAGACACGGCCCAGACUCCUACGGGAGGCAGCAGUAGGGAAUCUUCCGCAAUGGACGAAAGUCUGACGGAGCAACGCCGCGUGAGUGAUGAAGGCUUUCGGGUCGUAAAACUCUGUUGUUAGGGAAGAACAAGUACAAGAGUAACUGCUUGUACCUUGACGGUACCUAACCAGAAAGCCACGGCUAACUACGUGCCAGCAGCCGCGGUAAUACGUAGGUGGCAAGCGUUAUCCGGAAUUAUUGGGCGUAAAGCGCGCGCAGGCGGUUUCUUAAGUCUGAUGUGAAAGCCCACGGCUCAACCGUGGAGGGUCAUUGGAAACUGGGGAACUUG
rnacentral:rRNA from 2 species